GCCCAGGUUUUGCCUCUACUUUCUAAAAUUUGAAUUCUGAGCAAAAGAAAAACUGAUUUUAAGAAUCUAGCUUUAUUUAUUGCUCACAGGGUCACAAUAAACUGGUAAAACUUGUGUACCAACAACUUAUUAGUUUUUAAGAAUAUGAUAAAAACUGACCCCGACAAACUAUACAGAAACUAGCUUGUUUGAAUCUUACCUAGUUUUCAAAAGCUAAGUUUUCUUACUAAAAACUAGAGGGAUCCAAACAAGACCUUAGUAUGAUGCGUGAUGAUAGAAUAAUUAUCCAUACAUUGAUACAUAAUUUCAUUCAGAUCUCAGCAGCUACUCCUUGCUGUGGCAGAGAUGCAUGCAUGGAACUGUGAGUUGUGACUGUGAGAUCGAGGAGGGAGGAGGGUGCUGGUUUUGGCAGAAAGCCAAGUGGCGUGGUGGCUUUUGCCUUUUUGGUCUGCAGGCAGGGGAGAGAGAGAGGCAGAGGCGACUCUCUUUCUGGAAACAUGAUGGUGUCCUGUGCAGUCGAGCAGCCUAGUACGAGUAGCCCUGUGCGCGGGGAAUAUUUGGUGGCGUCAGCCUACGUCACGCACGCGGGUGCAGCUGCAGCAGACGACCGAAGGGUGCCUCCGCUUUUGUCAGUCCCACUACCACGACUGCCCCUAAUUUUUUAUUUUUUGGGCUUUUUUUUUGAAAAAUUUUUUACGUUUAGCCCCUUCUGGAACUUAAACUCAUAUUUGGACCCAGUGGUUCGGCGCCAGGACUCGUGGCUCCGAGGUUACACAGCUCGGCGCCCCAGAUCUUGGCUCCGAGUUGGUUACUCGCGUACAACCUGACAUCCUACGUGGCGUUGACGUGGCUGGUAGCUCGGCGCCACAGAUCUUGGCGCCGAGCUCGGAGCCACAGAUCUGGGCGCCGAGCUAGGAGCCACUUAGACCCCAGCGCCCGUGAAUCCUUCUCUGGCGCCCGUGACCGAAAGAAAUUUUGCUGUCCAAGCCGUCGUC
rnacentral:lncRNA from 1 species